GGCAGCUUCUUGUUGGUCAGCUCUGUCUGGUGAUUGGCAGUGGCUGUCUCUGGAUCAACGAUUGGGCGCAUUAACAGGCGCCGCCCGAUCGCAUGCUUUCGCGUGCGCUGGCGAUUUGGGCCCUCCAUAUUUCGCCCAGGCCAUCCAGCACCUCAAAUGGAUCGUGAUUGGUCAAUUCGUCGUCGUCGCCAUCGUCUAAUUCAGUCGCGUCGCAGUCAAUGUCGGACUCUGAUUCCGAUAUGGCUGCUGCUGUAUUGGCGGCGACUGAUGGUAUUGGCAGAGGGGCAGGAACUGCUGCUGCUGUUGGUUGGAGUGGGGGCAUGGCUGUUCUGCCCUUGCCAUUUGCUGCAGCCAAUUUGAUUUUGAGCGCAGCUGCCAUCACACUGGACGUCUGGCUGCUGCUGCUGCUGGUGUUGUCGUGGCGUCGGAGCAUCAUUCGCGAUCGGCU